GUAGGUCCCAAGGGUAUGGCUGUUCGCCAUUUAAAGUGGUACGCGAGCUGGGUUUAGAACGUCGUGAGACAGUUCGGUCCCUAUCUGCCGUGGGCGCUGGAGAAUUGAGGGGGGCUGCUCCUAGUACGAGAGGACCGGAGUGGACGCAUCACUGGUGUUCGGGUUGUCAUGCCAAUGGCAUUGCCCGGUAGCUAAAUGCGGAAGAGAUAAGUGCUGAAAGCAUCUAAGCACGAAACUUGCCCCGAGAUGAGUUCUCCCUGACCCUUUAAGGGUCCUGAAGGAACGUUGAAGACGACGACGUUGAUAGGCCGGGUGUGUAAGCGCAGCGAUGCGUUGAGCUAACCGGUACUAAUGAACCGUGAGGCUUAACCUUACAACGCCGAAG
rnacentral:rRNA from 1 species